AGAUGUGAGGGUGAUCUGUCAGUGACAUCCAUCAACCCAUUGAUCUCCAGGGUUGAAUCAGCUGAUCUAGCUGGGUAGGUGGGUGUCCUCUUCCUUCCUCGCUGCUCCAUGCAUGUCCCUCUCAAAGUUGCAUGCUAGGUCAAAGAGGACGACCAUCUCUGAUAGUGCAGGAGCAUUCUUUAGUCAAGGGUAUACAAGUAACUGUGUUCACCUCCUAGAACCUCCAAACAAUCUCUCAAGAUCAUUGUUGGCUAAAGCCCAUAAAUUGUACCAUCUUUAUCAUUAAUUAUCUAUUUGUACAAUCUUUAUCAUUAA
ensembl:misc_RNA 7SK 7SK RNA